UACGAAGGGGGCUAGCGUUGUUCGGAAUUACUGGGCGUAAAGCGUGCGCAGGCGGCUUCUCAAGUCAGGGGUGAAAGCCCAGAGCUCAACUCUGGAAUUGCCUUUGAGACUGAGUGGCUUGAGUACGAGAGAGGUGAGUGGAAUUCCCAGUGUAGAGGUGAAAUUCGUAGAUAUUGGGAAGAACACCGGUGGCGAAGGCGGCUCUCUAGUACGUGACUGACGCUGAGACGGCGAAAGCGUGGGGAGCGAACAGG
rnacentral:rRNA from 1 species